rnacentral:misc_RNA from 1 species
UCUAUCCCCAAAAGCUUAUUUCACUCCCUAACUAGUUAGCCUUUUUUAUUAACAGUUUGAAGGUGGUUAUGUUCCUUAUCAUUACACGUACUAAAACUUAAAUAAACUUAGAGACAAAGUCCUUUUUAUUGACAUAGACCCGAGUUCUCCAUUAAAGUAGAUGAUGCGCCAGAAGGGGGAAUGGUCGGGAUAGCUCAGCUGGCAGAGCAGAGGACUGAAAAUCCUCGUGUC